rnacentral:rRNA from 1 species
GUGGGGAAUAUUGGACAAUGGGCGCAAGCCUGAUCCAGCCAUGCCGCGUGAGUGAUGAAGGCCCUAGGGUUGUAAAGCUCUUUCACCGGAGAAGAUAAUGACGGUAUCCGGAGAAGAAGCCCCGGCUAACUUCGUGCCAGCAGCCGCGGUAAUACGAAGGGGGCUAGCGUUGUUCGGAAUUACUGGGCGUAAAGCGCACGUAGGCGGACAUUUAAGUCAGGGGUGAAAUCCCGGGGCUCAACCCCGGAACUGCCUUUGAUACUGGGGGUCUGGAGUAUGGAAGAGGUAAGUGGAAUUCCGAGUGUAGAGGUGAAAUUCGUAGAUAUUCGGAGGAACACCAGUGGCGAAGGCGGCUUACUGGUCCAUUACUGACGCUGAGGUGCGAAAGCGUGGGGAGCAAACAGGAUUAGAAACCCUAGUAGUCC